rnacentral:antisense_RNA from 1 species
CGCGCGCACACGCGCACACACACACACACAUCCGCUACCCUCUCGCUCACACAACACGCCUCCUUCGCACACUUGCACACCCGUACCACAGCGCGCACACAUUUCCAGCGUCCUGCUCUGCCUUUGGGGAGCCCAGACGGUGGAGAGGCUGCUGAAGGGCACUGCUUUUCUGAAUCGCGUGGUUCCCUCUCUGGCCGGGCAGGCCAGCUUUUCUGAGCCGGUGGCAGACCCAGGCCCAGGGCCUAGAUCCUCAAAGACCUGAAAGGGUUUUGGAGCAGGUGCCAAGUGUGAGUGCCUGCAGGCCUGACCCCCCAGGGCCCCUGCUGGGCCAGAACACAAGGCCAUUUCUGGACAGGGGCUUGUCAUAGACUGUCCAGCAGCAAAGUCAUUGACUGUGGUCACUGGAACUGACUCAGAGAGGCCCAGCUUAAAGAAAGAAAGGAGGAAAAAAACCCUGCUGGACGUUGGAUGUACAGCCAAACACCUGGGUUGGGAUCUGAAUGAAGAAAACAGGCAUGGAAUGCCAGGAAUGAAGCACCUGUGGCUAAGUUGUCGUCUUACAGGCAAAUACUUUUUAAGAAUCUGCUGCGUGCCAGGCCUGCGCUGUGCCACUGUGUUAAGAAGAAACGAAGGAGCCAUAGCCACAU